GACGAACGCUGGCGGCGUGCCUAAUACAUGCAAGUCGAACGCUGAAGAGAGGAGCUUGCUCUUCUUGGAUGAGUUGCGAACGGGUGAGUAACGCGUAGGUAACCUGCCUUGUAGCGGGGGAUAACUAUUGGAAACGAUAGCUAAUACCGCAUAACAAUGGAUGACACAUGUCAUUUAUUUGAAAGGGGCAAUUGCUCCACUACAAGAUGGACCUGCGUUGUAUUAGCUAGUAGGUGAGGUAAUGGCUCACCUAGGCGACGAUACAUAGCCGACCUGAGAGGGUGAUCGGCCACACUGGGACUGAGACACGGCCCAGACUCCUACGGGAGGCAGCAGUAGGGGAUCUUCGGCAAUGGGGGCAACCCUGACCGAGCAACGCCGCGUGAGGGAAGAAGGGUUUCGGAUCGUAAAGCUCUGUUGUAAGUCAAGAACGGGUGUGAGAGUGGAAAGUUCACACUGUGACGGUAGCUUACCAGAAAGGGACGGCUAACUACGUG
rnacentral:rRNA from 1 species